GAUGGCCGCCACUUUUCGAACCCCUACCCUUUUUCUUGAGAAGGCCGAUCAGUUGGUCCCUGAGCCUCUGCCUGUACGGUUGUCCCAAAAUGUCGUCUCUGUGACAUCGAAAUAGUUUACUCGUUUGCUUAUUCAGUCAGUUAUUUAGAUUUUUUUUUGUGCUGGACUAUUAAAAAUGCGUUUCCUGAAUUAUUGCUGCCAUCCAGGUUUAGUUUUGUUUCGUUAUUUUAAAGUUCUAGUUGGCUUUCAAAAUACCUGACGGAGAAGAAAGUCGGAUCGAUCCUGCUCGGCAACAACACAGUGUCAAGUUAGUUUCUUGAAAGAUGGAUCAACCCUGCGUUUUUGUUUUCAUUUUCUGAUCCUUCCUGGAGACUCUGUACAACAUCAUCUGGCAUCUUUGGGCUAAAUCUGAGUGGAAAUUUGCACUGUGGUCCACCUGUGCUGGAAAUCCUGUGUGUCUGUUUGCUCCUUUUCUAACGUGAUCUAUUUGUGCAACAUCUGCAUGUUUUGUUUCUUUUAGGAUGUGGAGCGCAAUAACACGCAGCCAGAAGUAGCAAUGGACCUUUUCGUGAGGAUUAAGUGGAACGCACGAACUUCUACGUCCCAGGAUGUCGUUUACAGCGCUACUCCACAACUACAGUAACAAGUUAUUUAGAUUUCAUUAAUUAUGAAAGGGUAAUGAGGAUCAGAAACCGUUUGUUUGCAUCAAUAGCAUCAUUUUUAGUUUCA